AUGUGUAAUGAAACAUGAAGACGUCAAGUAUAAAGGAUGGCAAUUGCUCAGACUUGUCCUUUGCUUGUCUGGUUAUCCAUCAAACACUAUCAGUGUGAUUGUGCCAGAAAGUUUCAUGAUCAAAAAUCAGCACUGGGAUGUCUGCUUGCACUAUUCCCAGGUUUGCUUCCUUGGUUCUUCAUAUCAUCCAGACCCCUGAACUGGAAAUAUCUUGUUAACUCUGCACUGUUUAAUAUUCUUUGGAAAUUAAACUACUUGGGCAUGUUUAGAGCUCAAAUGGAAUCUAUGCAUUUUGCUUGACAAGGUCGUUGGUUGCUUUUUAGAGCUUACAUAUUGAAAAUCAUG
ensembl:lncRNA novel transcript